rnacentral:rRNA from 1 species
UACGUAGGGCGCAAGCGUUAUCCGGAAUUAUUGGGCGUAAAGAGCUCGUAGGCGGUUUGUCGCGUCUGCCGUGAAAGUCCGGGGCUCAACCUCGGGCCUGCAUUCGAUACGGGCUAGCUAGAGUGUGGUAGGGGAGAUCGGAAUUCCUGGUGUAGCGGUGAAAUGCGUAGAUAUCGUAAGGAAGACCAGUGGCGAAGGCGGGUCUCUGGACAGUUCCUGACGCUGAGGCACGAAGGCCAGGGGAGCAAACGGGG